GGGAAGUGCUGGGUCGAGAAGGGUGGGGUCCCUGGUGAGGAUCCACCCUCAGGCUGGUGCCCAGGGACCUAAGUAAGAAUAGGCACUCCUGUUUUCGCGCCCAAAUGUUGCAUUUUCCAAGACCACUCUGGCCUGCCACACCCCCUGAUCCUGUGCCUAUAAAAAACCCGGAGGCCCCAGCAGGCACACACACAGGUGGCUGGACAUCGAGAGGAACACACCAGUAGAAGAACACACCAGCAGAUGCUGGCAGGCUACUGAUGGCAGAACGACAGGGACGCCAAGGGGAAUUCGGCCAAGGGUGGGUGGUCUGAGGAGAUCCCCGCCACUGAGCAGCCAACCCCAGGGGAAGACUACCUUCCCACUUAAACCUCUUCUGUCUCCCCAUCAAUCUGCUGAGAACUGCUUCCACUACUCUACAAAACUUUGCACUCACUCUCCAAGACCACAUGUGAUCCGAUUUUUCUGGUACAGUAGGGCAAGAAUCCAGGGAUACAGAAGCCCUCUGUCCUUGCAAUUUAGCAGAGGCUCUGAUUGAACUGACUAACAAGCUGCCUGCGGACGGCUAAGCUGAAAGAGCAAACUGUAACACACGCCCACUGGGGCUCCAGGAACUGUAAACAACCAAUCCUAGAUGCUGCCGUGGGGUCGGAGCCCACGCUCUCCACCAUCUGCUCAUCGGCAUGCUUGUCCUAGGGGUUUGAGCAGUGGGGCACCGAAGAAGCAAGCCACACCGCUGUCACACACCCAGCAAGGAGUAUAAGGGAAAACUUCUCCCGUUUCGUUUAUAAUAUGAGCACUGACAAUAUAUGUCCAUGGAUAGAGCAGCAGAAAAGAGGAAGUACUAAAGGUGGACAAUAUAUUUUCUGAUAGGAUCUUACCUGUUCCAGUAAUUGAUACAAGGAAUGAUGUCAGAAAACAGACUUUCCCUACAGAUUCUGCAAUGGGAUUCUGCACAUGUUCAAGAAAUAAACAGAAAACAUUCCUAUCAGUGGAAAAAAUGGAAAUUGGUAAUCCAUGCUAUGCAUCAGCAUCACAUUCACAUUUUCAUGUGGUGGCUUGGAGGUAUCAACUAAUAUGUAGAUGACAAGCAUGGUAUUGGGGAAUUGUGGCUAUAGCAAUGUAAUAGCAAUUUGAUAACUAUGAAAACAAUACGAUUAUGCAAAUCAUGGCCCCAAAGAGCCUGUCUGUGGAAAAAAUCAUUGAAGCUCCUGAAUGUCCAAACUCAAAACACAAGUGUAAAUCCACAUUCCUUCCAAGGAAGCAAUAUCUUUGAGAACCUUAAUCCUAGCUGAGCUCUGUUGACCAUAUUUGACAAUAGGAGAUACUAUGAAUAAGCUGAGGUCUUAUUCCCCAAGACUGGGUAAUUUAUAAAGGAAAGAGAUUUAAUUGAUGUACAGUUCAGCAUGGCUGUAAGAAAACUCACAAUCAUGGCGGAAGGUGAAGAGGAAGCAAGGCACCUUCUUCACAAGGUGGCAGGAAGAAGUGAGAAGUAAAGGGGGAAGAGCUCCUUAUAAAACCAUCAGAUCUCGUGAGAACUUACUAUCAUGAGAACAGCAUGAGGCAAACCUCCCCCAUGAUUCAAUUACCUACACCUGGUCUCUCCCUUGACACGUGGGGAUUAUGUGGAUUACAGUUCAAGGUGAGAUUUGAGUGGGGACCCAAAGCCUAACUGUAUCAACUAAUGACAGAGAUUAAGUGGUUUGGGAAUUGCAGGAGCCUAGUGACAACAUUUAACCAACAGAUAAGGUGAGUAAAAUGACCAUAAUAAACCUCAUGACAGUAAAAGAAACAAGAGUGACUUAUCCUACAGGGAAGUAAUAUAUCAUAGUUUUUCUAGGAAUGAAAUACAAAGGCAGCCAACUAAGUUGUGAUUUGAUUAUAUAACCUGAAUAAUCAAAAGAUGACAAGCAAUAGAAAAUUGCAAUCUCUUAGACCCUUUUCAUGUAUAAGCCAGUUCUCAGCCCAGAGCUCAAUAGGAGGACUAGGUCACCUAGAAGAAGGACUGUGUAAUGCCAAUGCAAGUAUAUUCAAUGUAUGUUCCAUUGAGAUCCUUUACCAGAAUAAAUGUACACUGGAGAAAUUUGAUUACUCAUAUCUUUCAAGGGUUUUUAGUUCAGGGUCUAAGUUGGCAGUGAUAUUGCUGAUCUGAAACACAAUCAUAGCUCCUUGGCUUGAGAAAAGUGUUAUGGAAUUCAGGCUUGAGAAAGGUGUUAUGGAAUUCAGGCUUGAGAAAGGUGUUAUGGAAUUCAGGCUUGAGAAAGGUAUUAUGGAAUUCAGGUAAUAAAUGGAGUCCAGACCAAGUCACAGUGGCAAUUUCCAUGGAACUCACUUGUAACACUAGGAUGGAUAUACUUAGAAUCUUAUUAGUUCCUGACCUGUUAAGGGUGAGCCAUUGCAGAAUGAAAGACCAGCAGAAAACUCCAGCAUCAUCCCUCUUACCCUCAAGGCCAAGAUAGUCAAUAAAAAAGAGUACUGUACGUCAAGAAGAAUUGCAGGAAUUAUUGACAACUUCAAAGUUUUUGAGGAGUCAGAGGUAAUUGCUUUUAUGAUAUCUCUAUUUAGUUUACCUGUACGGCCCUUUCAAAACAUAGAUGGCCUAUACUGGGUAAUAGAGGAUUAAUAUAAACCUAAAGGAUGAUACCACAUGUGCAACUGCUUUGCUGGAUGUGUUUCUGGAAUAGAAUAUAACUUCUGGUACUUGGAUGUCACUAUUGAUGUAGAGAAUACAUUCUCUUCUAUCUCCAUCAAUAAAAAUGUAUCAGAAGUAAUAUAUUUUUGUAUCACUCUAUUCAUUGACAGUUUUGGACCAGGGGUAUGAAAAUGUCCUUGACUUUAUCUCAUUAUACCAUUCUGAGACCUUGAGUAUAUCUUAUAAUUUUAUGGGGCAUUACACUUGUCACUGUAUUCAUUUCAUUAUGCUAAUUUUACCUGGUCUGAAAUAAGGAGACUGGACACCCUAGUAAAUUACAUGUUUCCCAGAAGUGGUAAAUGAACUCCAGAAAGAUGACAGUCCUGCCACAUCAAUAAGGACUUGCUUCCUAAAACAAAGGAUAGGUUAUUGUUCUUCACAAAUCCUACCACUAAGGUAGAGUCAUAGACAUAGAACUUAGUAUUUUUUUUUUUUUUUUUAACAAUCAGAACUAUGGUUCUAGUGCAGUGCAAACUUCCCUGGACAUUAGCCACCUGGCUGUUAAAUAUAGUGGUGUCAGAAGUAUCCAAGAUGGAUAAAGAUGUUGCAUGUAUUUCAGGGUCAGGCCAUCUGCAGAAGAGAACUAAGCACUCUCGGAAAACCACAUUCUUAUGUGCUACAGAGCCCAGCAGAAAAAGAAACACUGCAUGUGGAACAUCUGUUGACUAUACAGAAAGAGCAGGUAUCCAGGAGUGAGGUCAAACAUAUGCAAUAUACUUUUAUUGCAUAAUUGAAAUGGUGCAUUUGGAUUUGGAAAUUCGCAGGUCUAGAACAAAAAAUAAUUUACGUGAAGAGGUGUAAAUUCCUGAAAAGUGCAACAUUGGGAUAUCUAAUAAGAGCAAGUUUGGGCUUCAGUGAGGAAACAAUAAAAAUUUUGCAGAAGAAGCACAUGAAUAGAUCAUGAGAGUGGGCAAACAGCGUAAGAAACUGUGUCUCACGUUGAUAUCUACCUAAAAGUAUCCAAUACAGAGGAAGCACUUAAAAAUAAGAGAAAUAAGUGGAAUCCUUGUAAGGAUAUAAAACACAAUUUGUCUCAGCCACUCAGCCGUCCAACUUGAACAAUGAGCCCAUUAAGAGAACAGGACGAAAACAAGGUUUUCCUUUCUUUGUCAGAUCUCACUACUGCCAUUGCUGAUAGUCCAGCCUGCCAACAUCAGAGACAAACAUAGAGCACUCAAUAGAGUAGCGUCAACUAAUGGGACAUGUCAAUCACUUAGCAAUAUAUUGAUUAUAUCAGACUUGUCCAAACAGUAGUCCAUUCUUAUUGGAAUAGGUGUUUCUCUAAGAUUUGGGUUUGCCUUUCUAGCCCCUGUGCCUUUGCUAGUACCAUCAUCCAGGGGUUUAUAUAAUGCCACGUUUACACCUUGGCACACAAUAUAAUAUUUACUUAAUCAAAGUAACCAUUUUCUUAUGGUGAGUACAAGUAUUCUUUUUAUUAUGAUUAUGAUUAUUUAAACUAUGAAUAUACACCUUAUACUGGUCUUUGUAUGUGUAAUACAUAUUUGUAUAUGUAUAAUAUACAAAUAUAUAAUAUAUCUUUGUGUUUGUAUAAUAUGGAUUAUUAUAUUUGUAUAUGUAUAAUAUAUGAAUAUAUAAUAUAUAUUUAUAUUUUUAUAUGUAUAAUAUGGAUUGACAAUAUGUUUUAAUCGUCAAUAUGAAUAAAAUAAUAAAGAUGAAUAAAAUAAUAAUAAACCAAAUAUAUAUGUAGGGUUAUG
rnacentral:lncRNA from 10 species